AUUGAACGCUGGCGGCAGGCCUAACACAUGCGAGUCGAACGGUAACAGGAAGCAGCUUGCUGCUUCGCUGACGAGUGGCGGACGGGUGAGUAAUGUCUGGGAAGCUGCCUGAUGGAGGGGGAUAACUACUGGAAACGGUAGCUAAUACCGCAUAAUGUCGCAAGACCAAAGAGGGGGACCUUCGGGCCUCUUGCCAUCGGAUGUGCCCAGAUGGGAUUAGCUUGUUGGUGGGGUAACGGCUCACCAAGGCGACGAUGCCUAGCCGGUCUGAGAGGAUGAGGCACCACACCGGAACCGAGGACACGUCCAGACCCCUUCGGGGGGCCGCAGGAGGGAAGUUUACGACAAGGGCGGAAACCUUACGGAGCACCGCCGGGUGGUGUAAGAAGGGCUUCUGGUUUUUAAACUCCUUUAUGGGGGGAGAAAAGGUGUAAAAUUAACUCUUUGUCUCUUGACGGUACCCCGCAAAAAAGCCCCGGCUAACUACGUG
rnacentral:rRNA from 1 species